rnacentral:rRNA from 1 species
UGGGGAAUAUUGGACAAUGGGCGAAAGCCUGAUCCAGCCAUGCCGCGUGUGUGAAGAAGGUCUUCGGAUUGUAAAGCACUUUAAGUUGGGAGGAAGGGCAGUAAGCGAAUACCUUGCUGUUUUGACGUUACCGACAGAAUAAGCACCGGCUAACUCUGUGCCAGCAGCCGUGGUAAUACAGAGGGUGCAAGCGUUAAUCGGAAUUACUGGGCGUAAAGCGCGCGUAGGUGGUUCGUUAAGUUGAAUGUGAAAGCCCCGGGCUCAACCUGGGAACUGCAUCCAAAACUGGCGAGCUAGAGUAGGGCAGAGGGUGGUUGAAUUUCCUGUGUAGCGGUGAAAUGCGUAGAUAUAGGAAGGAACACCAGUGGCGAAGGCGACCACCUGGGCUCAUACUGACACUGAGGUGCGAAAGCGUGGGGAGCAAACAGG